rnacentral:rRNA from 1 species
AUUGAACGCUGGCGGCAGGCCUAACACAUGCAAGUCGAGCGGAUGACGGGAGCUUGCUCCUUGGUUCAGCGGCGGACGGGUGAGUAAUGCCUAGGAAUCUGCCUGGUAGUGGGGGACAACGUUUCGAAAGGAACGCUAAUACCGCAUACGUCCUACGGGAGAAAGCAGGGGACCUUCGGGCCUUGCGCUGUCAGAUGAGCCUAGGUCGGAUUAGCUAGUUGGUGGGGUAAUGGCUCACCAAGGCGACGAUCCGUAACUGGUCUGAGAGGAUGAUCAGUCACACUGGAACUGAGACACGGUCCAGACUCCUACGGGAGGCAGCAGUGGGGAAUAUUGGACAAUGGGCGAAAGCCUGAUCCAGCCAUGCCGCGUGUGUGAAGAAGGUCUUCGGAUUGUAAAGCACUUUAAGUUGGGAGGAAGGGCAGUAAGCUAAUACCUUGCUGUUUUGACGUUACCGACAGAAUAAGCACCGGCUAACUCUGUGCCAGCCGCCGCCGUAAGAC